GAUGAACGCUGGCGGCGUGCUUAACACAUGCAAGUCGAACGAUGAAGCCUAGCUUGCUAGGUGGAUUAGUGGCGAACGGGUGAGUAACACGUGAGCAACCUGCCCCGAACUUUGGGAUAAGCGCUGGAAACGGCGUCUAAUACUGAAUACGCACCAUGGCGGCAUCGUCAAUGGUGGGAAAGAUUUUUCGGUUCGGGAGGGGCUCGCGGCCUAUCAGCUUGUUGGUGAGGUAAUGGCUCACCAAGGCGUCGACGGGUAGCCGGCCUGAGAGGGUGACCGGCCACACUGGGACUGAGACACGGCCCAGACUCCUACGGGAGGCAGCAGUGGGGAAUAUUGCACAAUGGGCGCAAGCCUGAUGCAGCAACGCCGCGUGAGGGAUGACGGCCUUCGGGUUGUAAACCUCUUUUAGUAGGGAAGAAGCGAAAGUGACGGUACCUGCAGAAAAAGCACCGGCUAACUACGUGCCAGCCGCCGCGGUAAAAC
rnacentral:rRNA from 1 species